rnacentral:rRNA from 1 species
UGUGGCUGGGGGUGAAAGGCCAAUCAAACCGGGAGAUAGCUGGUUCUCCCCGAAAGCUAUUUAGGUAGCGCCUCGUGAAUUCAUCUCCGGGGGUAGAGCACUGUUUCGGCAAGGGGGUCAUCCCGACUUACCAACCCGAUGCAAACUGCGAAUACCGGAGAAUGUUAUCACGGGAGACACACGGCGGGUGCUAACGUCCGUCGUGAAGAGGGAAACAACCCAGACCGCCAGCUAAGGUCCCAAAGUCAUGGUUAAGUGGGAAACGAUGUGGGAAGGCCCAGACAGCCAGGAUGUUGGCUUAGAAGCAGCCAUCAUUUAAAGAAAGCGUAAUAGCUCACUGGUCGAGUCGGCCUGCGCGGAAGAUGUAACGGGGCUAAACCAUGCACCGAAGCUGCGGCAGCGACACUAUGUGUUGUUGGGUAGGGGAGCGUUCUGUAAGCCUGUGAAGGUGGCCUGUGAGGGUUGCUGGAGGUAUCAGAAGUGCGAAUGCUGACAUAAGUAACGAUAAAGCGGGUGAAAAGCCCGCUCGCCGGAAGACCAAGGGUUCCUGUCCAACGUUAAUCGGGGCAGGGUGAGUCGACCCCUAAGGCGAGGCCGAAAGGCGUAGUCGAUGGGAAACAGGUUAAUAUUCCUGUACUUGGUGUUACUGCGAAGGGGGGACGGAGAAGGCUAUGUUGGCCGGGCGACGGUUGUCCCGGUUUAAGCGUGUAGGCUGGUUUUCCAGGCAAAUCCGGAAAACCAAGGCUGAGGCGUGAUGACGAGGCACUACGGUGCUGAAGUGACAAAUGCCCUGCUUCCAGGAAAAGCCUCUAAGCAUCAGGUAACAUCAAAUCGUACCCCAAACCGACACAGGUGGUCAGGUAGAGAAUACCAAGGCGCUUGAGAGAACUCGGGUGAAGGAACUAGGCAAAAUGGUGCCGUAACUUCGGGAGAAGGCACGCUGAUAUGUAGGUGAAGCGACUUGCUCGUGGAGCUGAAAUCAGUCGAAGAUACCAGCUGGCUGCAACUGUUUAUUAAAAACACAGCACUGUGCAAACACGAAAGUGGACGUAUACGGUGUGACGCCUGCCCGGUGCCGGAAGGUUAAUUGAUGGGGUUAGCGGUAACGCGAAGCUCUUGAUCGAAGCCCCGGUAAACGGCGGCCGUAACUAUAACGGUCCUAAGGUAGCGAAAUUCCUUGUCGGGU